CACGUAGGCGGAUAUUUAAGUCAGGGGUGAAAUCCCAGAGCUCAACUCUGGAACUGCCUUUGAUACUGGGUGUCUUGAGUAUGAGAGAGGUGUGGUGGAACUCCGAGUGUAGAGGUGAAAUUCGUAGAUAUUCGGAAGAACACCAGUGGCGAAGGCGACACACUGGCUCAUUACUGACGCUGAGGCUCGAAAGCGUGGGAGCAAACA
rnacentral:rRNA from 1 species